AGCAGGUAAAAGCUGACAUUGAUUCCAUUGAUGUGGUUGUAAUUGAUUUGGGGUAAAUAAUAACGCCACUAAGGGAGAGUUGGACAGUCUUUGAAAUAAAAGAAUGUAUCUGCUAAUCAUGAAUAUGCACAGGGAUAUGCAAUCUAUGUUAGAAUGAAUUUUUUAAGGAAGAGUAUAGCACUGCCAUACUCUGACAGAGGCCAAAGCAGGUUUUCGAAUUGCAGAAUUUUCAUUGAAGGUAUUCCAAUUGCAGAAUUUUAAAGGUCAAAUAAAACAUCAUCUUCCCCGCCAUGAAGCUCUUUACCUCUGCAAUUCAAUGGCUGCU